UACGUAGGGGGCAAGCGUUGUCCGGAAUCAUUGGGCGUAAAGCGCGCGUAGGCGGCCCGGUAAGUCCGUUGUGAAAGUCAAAGGCUCAACCUUUGAAUGCCGAUGGAUACUGCCGGGCUCGAGUCCGGAAGAGGCGAGUGGAAUUCCUGGUGUAGCGGUGGAAUGCGCAGAUAUCAGGAGGAACACCGAUAGCGAAGGCAGCCUCGUGGGACGGUACUGACGCUGAGGCGCGAAAGCGUGGGGAGCGAACAGG
rnacentral:rRNA from 1 species